rnacentral:rRNA from 1 species
CAGCAGCCACGGGAAUACGAAGGGGGCUAGCGUUGUUCGGAAUUACUGGGCGUAAAGCGCACGUAGGCGGAUAUUUAAGUCAGGGGUGAAAUCCCGCAGCUCAACUGCGGAACUGCCUUUGAUACUGGGUAUCUUGAGUAUGGAAGAGGUUAGUGGAAUUGCGAGUGUAGAGGUGAAAUUCGUAGAUAUUCGCAGGAACACCAGUGGCGAAGGCGGCUAACUGGUCCAUAACUGACGCUGAGGUACGAAAGCAUGGGGAGCAAACAGGAUUAGAUACCCCCGUAGUCCCUGUCUCUUAUAC